GACGGGGGGUCCUAGCGUUGUUCGGAAUCAUUGGGCGUAAAGCGUGUGCAGGUGGUUUGGAAAGUUAGAUGUGAAAGCCCCGGGCUCAACCCGGGAAGUGCAUUUAAAACUCCCAAACUUGAAUAUGGAAGAGGGUCGUGGAAUUCCAGGUGUAGUGGUGAAAUACGUAGAUAUCUGGAGGAACACCGGUGGCGAAGGCGGCGACCUGGUCCAAUAUUGACACUCAUACACGAAAGCGUGGGGAUCAAACAGG
rnacentral:rRNA from 1 species